rnacentral:rRNA from 1 species
CUUACACAUGCAGUCGAGCGGGGAUAGGGUGCUUGCACCUGAUUCCUAGCGGCGGACGGGUGAGUAAUGCUUAGGAAUCUGCCUAUUAGUGGGGGACAACAUUCCGAAAGGGAUGCUAAUACCGCAUACGCCCUACGGGGGAAAGCAGGGGAUCUUCGGACCUUGCGCUAAUAGAUGAGCCUAAGUCGGAUUAGCUAGUUGGUGGGGUAAAGGCCUACCAAGGCGACGAUCUGUAGCGGGUCUGAGAGGAUGAUCCGCCACACUGGGACUGAGACACGGCCCAGACUCCUACGGGAGGCAGCAGUGGGGAAUAUUGGACAAUGGGGGGAACCCUGAUCCAGCCAUGCCGCGUGUGUGAAGAAGGCCUUUUGGUUGUAAAGCACUUUAAGCGAGGAGGAGGCGCUCUAGGAUAAUACCCUAGAUGCGUGGACGUUACUCGCAGAAUAAGCACCGGCUAACUCUGUGCCAGCAGCCGCGGUAAUACAGAGGGUGCAAGCGUUAAUCGGAUUUACUGGGCGUAAAGCGCGCGUAGGUGGCUAAUUAAGUCAAAUGUGAAAUCCCCGAGCUUAACUUGGGAAUUGCAUUCGAUACUGGUUAGCUAGAGUAUGGGAGAGGAUGGUAGAAUUCCAGGUGUAGCGGUGAAAUGCGUAGAGAUCUGGAGGAAUACCGAUGGCGAAAGCAGCCAUCUGGCCUAAUACUGACACUGAGGUGCGAAAGCAUGGGGAGCAAACAGGA